rfam:Myotis brandtii contig222951, whole genome shotgun sequence.
CAGAGCCCGCCAGCCGCUAGGCCAGGGCCACACCUGGGGGUGAUCGUAUGUCUCACCUCCAGUAGGCACCGCGGUCUCUUUGGGCUAAUCUCUGGCUCCCUCGCACUAACCAUUGCUCCACCCAGCUAACCCCUGCCUUGCCCUGGCUGCCCCCAGGGGCUGACCACUCGCUAACAGCCAACCCUGCCCUUCUGGGGGCUCCAGGCUCCUGGCCUGGCUCUGACCGGCUCUUCAUUAACCUCUCCUUCACCUCCACUAACUCCUGCCCUCCUGGUCUGUUCCUCUCAGCAGAAACUAACGGCUUGUGGAUUUCCUUCUGACUAACAACAGGUCUAAUGCUCCUCCUUACUGUUACUAUUAACAGCUUGGAUGUCAGCAUGGCUGGG